CAAUCAGCAACAAGCUUUAACAUCCAAUCAGCAACAGUGGGAUUCAAAAAUUACCCAAUCAGGAUUACACGAGCAGCGCAGCUGGAAGCAGGCUGUGGCACUACCCUGGUCCCCCGGGUGUACUACCGCGGGGUUGGCCCCAGCAGCAUGCCCUCCAACCGGCCCACACAGCGCCCGCCCCUCGGGGAUGUGGCCACGUCCUGGCGCCUGAUGUUUUCUGCCACUGCCAAGAAUCAACCUGGGACUGAAACCGCCUUAGUGCAAGUCAUAUGGAAGGAGAUUGCUGGCCCCAUGACCCAGGAAAAGUAAGGGCAAUACAUCUGAUGAUGUAAGUCUCCUGGCAUUCUCACAUUCAUUUCAUUGCUUUCAACUGACCCCUACUGAAAAUGAGCUUCAACUCUAAGACACUCUUCCUUCUUCUGCUCCAAAGCAAUCUCUAGUGUCUUAAGCCGUGAGUCCUUUUUCAGUCCAGAAGAAGCCAGGGAAGAAGCAUGCUCUUUCAGGUC